GAUGAACGCUGGCGGCGUGCCUAAUACAUGCAAGUCGAGCGAACGGACGAGAAGCUUGCUUCUCUGAUGUUAGCGGCGGACGGGUGAGUAACACGUGGAUAACCUACCUAUAAGACUGGGAUAACUUCGGGAAACCGGAGCUAUACCGGAUAAUAUUUUGAACCGCAUGGUUCAAAAGUGAAAGACGGUCUUGCUGUCACUUAUAGAUGGAUCCGCGCUGCAUUAGCUAGUUGGUAAGGUAACGGCUUACCAAGGCAACGAUGCAUAGCCGACCUGAGAGGGUGAUCGGCCACACUGGAACUGAGACACGGUCCAGACUCCUACGGGAGGCAGCAGUAGGGAAUCUUCCGCAAUGGGCGAAAGCCUGACGGAGCAACGCCGCGUGAGUGAUGAAGGUCUUCGGAUCGUAAAACUCUGUUAUUAGGGAAGAACAUAUGUGUAAGUAACUGUGCACAUCUUGACUGUACCUAAUCAGAAAGCCACGGCUAACUACGUG
rnacentral:rRNA from 1 species